GACGUAGGGGGCGAGCGUUAUCCGGAAUUAUUGGGCGUAAAGGGCGCGUAGGCGGCUUUUCAAGUGAGGGGUGAAAUCCCUCGGCUUAACCGAGGAACUGCCUGUCAGACUGGAAGGCUUGAGACCGGGAGAGGUGAGUGGAAUUCCCAGUGUAGCGGUGAAAUGCGUAGAUAUUGGGAGGAACACCAGUGGCGAAGGCGGCUCGCUGGACCGGAACUGACGCUGAGGCGCGAAAGCGUGGGGAGCAAACAGG
rnacentral:rRNA from 1 species